rnacentral:lncRNA from 10 species
GGAGGAGCAAAGGCAUUCCAGAUUCAGAACAGCUUCCUGUUCUGCUCACAGCAGCCUCAAAGUCGAUUGAAAGUUUCUGGCAAAAUACAAAUUAUUUCCUGGGAGGAGGUAAGAGAAUGGAUUAAUUUACUUAGUUUCCUAGUUGAGAAUUUCCCAAGGUACUGGGACUCAGAGCAGAUGUGUCAUUAUUGGUGGGGAGGGGAGGUAAAGGAAAGUCUGGCUCGAUUAUUCUCAGCUGCGACCCGGGACUGUGGCGGGGCUUGCACACACUCACAGCUCCUUCUGGAGACCUCCGCCCGCUUAUCUUUGGGGGCCUGUGGUCCCUGCCUGGCCCACUGUUCUGGCGAACUGCGGCCGCCUAAUGCAGUGCCACCAGCCUGCUGAGACGUACAGUGGCUGCUCCCGGGCUCCUGGCACUCUGAAAUCUGGCAUGCAAUAAACGCAUGCUGCCUGUGGAAGGCAGACAGAUGCAGAAGUUCUCUGUGGUUAGCAGGGGGAAUGGCUGGGAGGCAGCAGUGGUAAACUCUGAUUGUUCUACAGUUUUGCCAACAAGAAUGGUUCUCAAUACGGGCUGCAUGGCAGAAUCUCCAGCAAUUUAUAAAUAUACCAAUUGAAUGUGUACGUUUUUGUAUAUUGUAUUUUAAUAAAAAGUUUAUACACGCAUACAUAUGGCUAGAUAGAUGAUAGAUGCCAACUCCAUCUAUCAAUCAUCUCAUUCUCCAUGAAUGAGAAUCUGUACAGGUGGGGCCUAAACCUGAUUUUUUAAAUCUCUCUCAAGUGACCCCAGUUUGCACUCAGG